CUCCAGAUGUUGCUAAACUACAACUCCCAUGAUUCUCUAGCUAUCUAUUUCAAAGGAUCAUGGGAGUUGUAGUUUGGCAACAUCUAGAG
rnacentral:miRNA from 1 species